UACGGAGGCUCCAAGCGUUAUCCGGAUUCAUUGGGUUUAAAGGGUGCGUAGGCGGAACGAUAAGUCAGUGGUGAAAGCCCUCAGCUUAACUGAGGAACUGCCAUUGAUACUGUCGAUCUUGAGUACAUUUGAUGUGGGCGGAAUGUGUCAUGUAGCGGUGAAAUGCUUAGAUAUGACACAGAACACCGAUUGCGAAGGCAGCUCACAAAACUGUAACUGACGCUGAGGCACGAAAGCGUGGGGAUCAAACAGG
rnacentral:rRNA from 1 species